GACGAACGCUGGCGGCGUGGAUUAGGCAUGCAAGUCGGACGGUAGGGCUUUAUCGUAAGAUAGAGUUUGAGAGUGGCGAACGGGUGAGUAACACGUAGGAAUCUACCCUUAAGACGGGGACAACCCAGGGAAACUUGGGCUAAUACCGGAUGAGAGUGCGAGAGAUUGCAUUUAAAAGGAUGGCGAAAGUUGUCGCUUAGGGAUGAGCCUGCGGUCUAUUAGUUAGUUGGUGAGGUAAGAGCUCACCAAGGCGAUGAUAGAUAGGCGGCCUUAACGGGUGGUCGCCCACACUGGGAUUGAGAUACGGCCCAGACUCCUACGGGAGGCAGCAGUGGGGAAUAUUGCGCAAUGGGGGGAACCCUGACGCAGCGACGCCGCGUGAGCGAAGAAGGCUUCGAGUUGUAAAGCUCUGUAAUAAAGGGAGAACGCUGUAUAUACGAAGAGUAUAUGCAGCUGACAGUACCUUAACAACAGCCCCGGCUAAACGUACGUGCCAGCAGCCGCGGU
rnacentral:rRNA from 1 species